rnacentral:tRNA from 1 species
AAAAUCCGUCGACUUUAUAAAUCGUGAACAUS